rnacentral:misc_RNA from 1 species
UAAUGGUGAGAAAAUUUAAUUAAUGAACUUACAAAAUGCUAUUCUAUUUCCUUUUCUCUAAACUGAGAAUAUAUAAGCAAAUAUACGUUGCAAAAUGAAUAAUCACUAGUUUAUUAAUUAUACAUAUGAUCAUCUUAAUUUGUUUGAAUGCUACAGGUGAAGUUGGCAGUCGCAAACCUGAAAUUACCUUCAAGAAUGAUAGCGUUACUGAUGCAGGAGGUCCUGGGAAAACUUGCCAUCCUGGUUCUAAAAGCUGCGGUUGCCCCAUAUACAAGCCUCAUUGCAAGCUCGCAGCCCCUUGAGUAAGAAAUAAUGCGGUGAAGAGAAGAAUGUAAUAAAGUGCUAUGUGAUGAAAUCAAUCAUGUGAUACCUUUGCCAUAUCGUGUGAUUAAUAUAUAUAUGUAGCUUCAUGAUGUGCUUUUUCUAUACUAAAUUAUGCUUGUUAGACAAUAAAAUUUCACUUGUACACAGUGGACGAGCUAUCAUUUUU